rnacentral:rRNA from 1 species
GAGUUUGAUCGUGGCUCAGAUUGAACGCUGGCGGCAGGCCUAACACAUGCAAGUCGAGCGGUAGAGAGAAGCUUGCUUCUCUUGAGAGCGGCGGACGGGUGAGUAAUGCCUAGGAAUCUGCCUGGUAGUGGGGGAUAACGCUCGGAAACGGACGCUAAUACCGCAUACGUCCUACGGGAGAAAGCAGGGGACCUUCGGGCCUUGCGCUAUCAGAUGAGCCUAGGUCGGAUUAGCUAGUUGGUGAGGUAAUGGCUCACCAAGGCGACGAUCCGUAACUGGUCUGAGAGGAUGAUCAGUCACACUGGAACUGAGACACGGUCCAGACUCCUACGGGAGGCAGCAGUGGGGAAUAUUGGACAAUGGGCGAAAGCCUGAUCCAGCCAUGCCGCGUGUGUGAAGAAGGUCUUCGGAUUGUAAAGCACUUUAAGUUGGGAGGAAGGGCAGUAAAUUAAUACUUUGCUGUUUUGACGUUACCGACAGAAUAAGCACCGGCUAACUCUGUGACAGCCGCCG